GAGUUUGAUCCUGGCUCAGGACGAACGCUGGCGGCACGCCUAACACAUGCAAGUCGAACGGAGAUAUUUUGGUUUACUGAGAUAUYUUAGUGGCGGACGGGUGAGUAACACGUGAGCAACCUGCCUYUGAGAGAGGGAUAGCUUCUGGAAACGGAUGGUAAUACCUCAUAACAUAACGAAGCCGCAUGACUUUGUUAUCAAAGAUUUAUCACUCAGAGAUGGGCUCGCGUCUGAUUAAAUAGUUGGUGAGGUAACGGCUCACCAAGUCGACGAUCAGUAGCCGGACUGAGAGGUUGAACGGCCACAUUGGGACUGAGACACGGCCCAGACUCCUACGGGAGGCAGCAGUGGGGAAUAUUGCACAAUGGGGGAAACCCUGAUGCAGCGAUGCCGCGUGGAGGAAGAAGGUUUUCGGAUUGUAAACUCCUGUCUAAAGGACGAUAAUGACGGUACUAGAAGA
rnacentral:rRNA from 1 species